CAGAUUCCGAUAUCCACUUUGUUUUGUCUCUCGCUCUCCCUUGGCCCUUUGAAAUAUUUAGUAGGAAUUCUUGACUAACGCGCUCGCAAUCGCCGCGUUCCCCCGUCGUCCCCGAGAGGCGUCCGUCCGUCAAGCGGCCAACAUCUGGAAGCGGACAGCCGUUCCCUCCGGACGCCGCGGAUGGCCGCGUCGGAUCGAGCGGCUGCUUCCUUCCUGCCUUCCGUGGCGGGCCCGCCGGAGAGACUCUUGUCCCUCAUGCCACAAAUCCAUCCAGCCAAUCAUCUGCGGCGUAUCCCAGUUAGGUUGGAGCUGGGGUCCAUUCCCUGCUGGCUUGAGGUAGACCGGGGGCGGGUUCACCAUCUGUGGUUUCUGAAGUGGUGGAUGGGUUCCUGAAGAAUGGAUCCCCCUUGGUUUGCCACCCCCCCUUCCUUCCUCCGUGUCUUUUGGUACCUGCUGAUAGUGUCGUGGUGAAAUGAGGAGAGGAACCUGGCUAAUCCGCGUUACCGGGGAGAAUAUCGGCAACGGCGCAGAUGAGAACGGGGAGAACAGAUGGCCGGGGGAAACAGGAGUCACCUCGCACCAAAUUAACCGCCGAGCAUCUUUGCAUCCCCCGCUGGGAGCUGAAGAUUCUCGCCGCUGAAAACGCCACAGCUCGACGACGACAUGGCAAGGUGCCAGUUGGGCCACUGUGUGGAAAAGUUACAAGUUGCGUGGUUUCUCAGCUAAAGUCCGCGGACGCUCCUUCCUCUCUGCAACAUCCACGCAGGCUCUGGUUCCGAGCAAAAGAGAGCGAGCCAAGUGCGCGCUCCUCGCUUGCGCUAGUGCGCACCCGCCCGCCUGUCAAUCAACGAGCGCCCGCCCACCCCUCCACGAGAAACAUCAUAGCGCACUGACACCAAGUAAGUGGCAAUGAAUAAACGCCGGAGCAUAAGGAAGGAGGAAGAUGAUGAUGAUGAUGAUG